GUUAUUGUAGCUUAUUGCAAAGCGUGGCAUUGAAGCUGCUAAGAUGGGCAGCCACGCACCCCAAAAACA
rnacentral:tRNA from 1 species